UGCAGUCGUACGAGAGUUUUUAACUCAAGUGGCGGACGGGUGAGUAACACGUAAGAAUUUACCUUUAGGAGGGGGAUAACAACUGGAAACGGUUGCUAAUACCCCAUAUGCCUUCGAGUGAAAUGGUUUUUCCGCCUAAAGAGAAGCUUGCGGCUGAUUAGCUUGUUGGGGAGGUAAUGGCUCACCAAGGCGACGAUCAGUAUCUGGUUUGAGAGGACGAUCAGACACACUGGAACUGAGACACGGUCCAGACUCCUACGGGAGGCAGCAGUGGGGAAUUUUCCGCAAUGGGCGAAAGCCUGACGGAGCAAUACCGCGUGAGGGAUGACGGCCUAUGGGUUGUAAACCUCUUUUUUCAGGGAGGAAUAAAUGACGUGUACCUGAGGAAUAAGCAUCGGCUAACUCCGUGCCAGCAGCCGCGGUAAUACG
rnacentral:rRNA from 1 species